rnacentral:lncRNA from 1 species
UUUUGAUGGGAAUUGAGGUGAAAUGAUCAAUAUGUCAGUCUCUUUCCUGUCCAUGACCUGCAAGUACCCCAAGGACUGGAGGGCUGGAUGUGGUUUUGAAGAACAUCAGGCACUGUUUAAAAAACCAACAAGAAUUUGUUUCUAGCAUAACUACAAGGGGCAUCCAUGCAGACUGUGGAAGGGCUGUUGAUGGACGCCAGGGAAUGGAAUGCCUGUGUAGCACAUGUUACAUCGCCCUGCUACUUAUCCAGGAUGUGUCAGGAAAAUGUUUGCACAAAGUUGCAU